rnacentral:rRNA from 1 species
UGAGGAAUAUUGGUCAAUGGGCGGGAGCCUGAACCAGCCAAGCCGCGUGGAGGAAGAAGGUACAGAGUAUCGUAAACUCCUUUUGUCAGGGGAUAAAAAGGCGCCACGAGUGGCGUUCUGAAGGUACCUGAAGAAAAACGCAUCGGCUAACUCCGUGCCAGCAGCCGCGGUAAUACGGAGGAUGCGAGCGUUAUCCGGAUUUAUUGGGUUUAAAGGGUGCGUAGGCGGUCUUUUAAGUCAGCGGUGAAAAGCCCGGGGCUCAACCCCCGGCGAGCCGUUGAUACUGGGAGACUGGAGAGGAAGAGAGGCAUGCGGAAUUCGCGGUGUAGCGGUGGAAUGCUUAGAUAUCGCGAAGAACUCCGAUUGCGAAGGCAGCAUGCUGGCUUCUGUCUGACGCUGAGGCACGAAAAGCGUGGGGAUCGAACAGGAUUAGAUACC